AGCUGAACUGUGAAGACAAAUUAUGAAUUUGCAUGUGUUGGUUUAAAAAAAAUCUCGUUUUCAUUAGCACUGUACGUCCAAGUGAUUCAGGAUAUAGCUGAGUUGCGAUACAUUUCUAAGGAUGAAAAGAUCUCUAGUAAUUGUUUUCAUGAUAAUGUUGGCUGUGGUGUGUGUCGCGCCACGUAAACAUGAGAAAGAAAAGGGGAAGCUUCAUGACUUGACACCAUGUGUAAGUGACCGCGACUGUGACCCCCCCGUAUCAUUAUGCGCAGAGAUCAUCAGUACCGGG